UACGUAGGGUGCGAGCGUUGUCCGGAAUUAUUGGGCGUAAAGAGCUCGUAGGCGGUGUGUCGCGUCGGCCGUGAAAACCUGCAGCUUAACUGUGGGCGUGCGGUCGAUACGGGCAUCACUGGAGUUCGGCAGGGGAGACUGGAAUUCCUGGUGUAGCGGUGAAAUGCGCAGAUAUCAGGAGGAACACCGGUGGCGAAGGCGGGUCUCUGGGCCGAUACUGACGCUGAGGAGCGAAAGCGUGAGGAGCAAACAGG
rnacentral:rRNA from 1 species